UUGAACGCUGGCGGCAGGCCUAACACAUGCAAGUCGAACGGUAACAGAAAGAAGCUUGCUUCUUUGCUGACGAGUGGCGGACGGGUGAGUAAUGUCUGGGAAACUGCCUGAUGGAGGGGGAUAACUACUGGAAACGGUAGCUAAUACCGCAUAACGUCGCAAGACCAAAGAGGGGGACCUUCGGGCCUCUUGCCAUCGGAUGUGCCCAGAUGGGAUUAGCUUGUUGGUGGGGUAACGGCUCACCAAGGCGACGAUCCCUAGCUGGUCUGAGAGGAUGACCAGCCACACUGGAACUGAGACACGGUCCAGACUCCUACGGGAGGCAGCAGUGGGGAAUAUUGCACAAUGGGCGCAAGCCUGAUGCAGCCAUGCCGCGUGUAUGAAGAAGGCCUUCGGGUUGUAAAGUACUUUCAGCGGGGAGGAAGGGAGUAAAGUUAAUACCUUUGCUCAUUGACGUUACCCGCAGAAGAAGCACCGGCUAACUCCGUGCCAGCAGCCGCGGUAAUACGGAGGGUGCAAGCGUUAAUCGGAAUUACUGGGCGUAAAGCGCACGCAGGCGGUUUGUUAAGUCAGAUGUGAAAUCCCCGGGCUCAACCUGGGAACUGCAUCUGAUACUGGCAAGCUUGAGUCUCGUAGAGGGGGGUAGAAUUCCAGGUGUAGCGGUGAAAUGCGUAGAGAUCUGGAGGAAUACCGGUGGCGAAGGCGGCCCCCUGGACGAAGACUGACGCUCAGGUGCGAAAGCGUGGGGAGCAGACAGGAUGAGAUACCCUGGUAGUCCACGCCGUAAACGAUGUCGACUUGGAGGUUGUGCCCUUGAGGCGUGGCUUCCGGAGCUAACGCGUUAAGUCGACCGCCUGGGGAGUACGGCCGCAAGGUUAAAACUCAAAUGAAUUGACGGGGGCCCGCACAAGCGGUGGAGCAUGUGGUUUAAUUCGAUGCAACGCGAAGAACCUUACCUGGUCUUGACAUCCACAGAACUUUCCAGAGAUGGAUUGGUGCCUUCGGGAACUGUGAGACAGGUGCUGCAUGGCUGUCGUCAGCUCGUGUUGUGAAAUGUUGGGUUAAGUCCCGCAACGAGCGCAACCCUUAUCCUUUGUUGCCAGCGGUCCGGCCGGGAACUCAAAGGAGACUGCCAGUGAUAAACUGGAGGAAGGUGGGGAUGACGUCAAGUCAUCAUGGCCCUUACGACCAGGGCUACACACGUGCUACAAUGGCGCAUACAAAGAGAAGCGACCUCGCGAGAGCAAGCGGACCUCAUAAAGUGCGUCGUAGUCCGGAUUGGAGUCUGCAACUCGACUCCAUGAAGUCGGAAUCGCUAGUAAUCGUGGAUCAGAAUGCCACGGUGAAUACGUUCCCGGGCCUUGUACACACCGCCCGUCACACCAUGGGAGUGGGUUGCAAAAGAAGUAGGUAGCUUAACCUUCGGGAGGGCGCUUACCACUUUGUGAUUCAUGACUGGGGUG
rnacentral:rRNA from 1 species